AGAGUUUGAUCCUGGCUCAGGAUGAACGCUAGCGGCAGGCUUAAUACAUGCAAGUCGAGGGGUAGCAUGAUUGUAGCAAUACAAUUGAUGACGACCGGCAAACGGGUGCGGAACACGUACACAACCUUCCUACAAGUGGGGAAUAGCCCAGAGAAAUUUGGAUUAAUACCCCGUAACAUAGCGAUGUGGCAUCACAUUGCUAUUAUAGCUUCGGCGCUUGUUGAUGGGUGUGCGGCUGAUUAGAUAGUUGGCGGGGUAACGGCCCACCAAGUCUACGAUCAGUAGCUGAUGUGAGAGCAUGAUCAGCCACACGGGCACUGGGACACGGGCCCGACUCCUACGGGAGGCAGCAGUAAGGAAUAUUGGACAAUGGACGCAAGUCUGAUCCAGCCAUGCCGCGUGAAGGAUUAAGGUCCUCUGGAUUGUAAACUUCUUUUAUAAGGGACGAAAAAAGGUCUUUCUAGAUCGUCUGACGGUACCUUAUGAAUAAGCACCGGCUAACUCCGUGCCAGCAGCCGCGGUAAUACGGAGGGUGCAAGCGUUAUCCGGAUUCACUGNGUUUAAAGGGUGCGUAGGCGGGCAGGUAAGUCAGUGGUGAAAUCCUAGAG
rnacentral:rRNA from 1 species